rnacentral:rRNA from 1 species
UACGUAGGGUCCAAGCGUUAUCCGGAAUUACUGGGCGUAAAGAGUGCGUAGGCGGUUUUUUAAGUUAGAUGUUAAAUCUGCAGGCUCAACUUGCAGGCUGCAUCUAAUACUGGAAGACUUGAGAGUGGAAGAGGUAAGCGGAAUUUCCGGUGGAGCGGUAAAAUGCGUAGAUAUCGGAAAGAACACCAAUGGCGAAGGCAGCUUACUGGGCCACUUCUGACGCUGAGGCACGAAAGCGUGGGGAGCGAUCGGG